UACGUAGGGUGCGAGCGUUGUCCGGAAUUACUGGGCGUAAAGAGCUCGUAGGUGGUUUGUCGCGUCGUCUGUGAAAGCCCGGGGCUCAACCCCGGAAUUGCUUUGGAUACUGCCUGGCUUGAGUAUGCGAGAGGAAAGCGGAAUUCCAGGUGUAGCGGUGAAAUGCGUAGAUAUCUGGAGGAACACCGGUGGCGAAAGCGGCUUUCUGGCGCAUAACUGACGCUGAGGCUCGAAAGCGUGGGGAGCGAACGGGAUUAGAUACCCGGGUAGUCCCUGA
rnacentral:rRNA from 1 species